UGAAUACGAGACGCUAAGGCGUCGAAGUAGUGUAUGUCAUACUUCCAAGAAAAGCUCGCACUGUCAUAGAUAAAAAACGCCUGUACCAUAACCGACACAGGUGGGUAGGUAGAGUAUACUAAGGGGCGCGAGAUAACUCUCUCUAAGGAACUCGGCAAAAUAACUCCGUAACUUCGGGGGAAGGAGUGCCUUAUUCGUAAGGUUGCAAUAACAAGAUCCAAGCAACUGUUUAUCAAAAACACAGGUCUCCGCUAAGUCGUAAGACGAUGUAUGGGGGCUGACGCCUGCCCAGUGCCAGAAGGUUAAAGAAGUUGGUUAGCAAUUGCGAAGCUGAUAACUGAAGCCCUGGUGAACGGCGGCCGUAACUAUAGCGGUCCUAAGGUAGCGAAAUUCCUUGUCGGGUAAGUUCCGACCCGCACGAAAGGCGUAAUGAUUUGGAUACUGUCUCGGAGAGGGGCUCGGUGAAAUAGACUUGUCUGUGAAGAUGCGGACUACCUGCACCAGGACAGAAAGACCCUAUGAAGCUUUACUGUAACUUGAAAUUGAAAUUGGACUUUAUUCGCGCAGUAUAGGUGGGAGGCGUUGAUUAUAAUCUUGUGGGAUUAUUGGAGCCAUCAGUGAGAUACCACUCUUGUAAUGUUAGAUUUCUAACUUUGAAUCAUUAUCUGGUCAAAGAACAGUUUCAGGCGGGCAGUUUGACUGGGGCGGUCGCCUCCUAAACGGUAACGGAGGCGUACAAAGGUUUCCUCUGAACGGUUAGAAAUCGUAUCUAGAGUGUAAAGGCAUAAGGAAGCUUGACUGUGAGACCUACAAGUCGAGCAGGGACGAAAGUCGGUCUUAGUGAUCUGACGGUACUGAGUGGAAAGGCCGUCACUCAACGGAUAAAAGUUACUCUAGGAUAACAGGCUGAUCUCCCCCAAGAGUUCACAUCGACGGGGAGGUUUGGCACCUCGAUGUCGGCUCAUCGCAUCCUGGGGCGGUAGUACGUCCCAAGGGUUGGGCUGUUCGCCCAUGAAAGCGGUACGCGAGCUGGGUUCAGAACGUCGUGAGACAGUUCGGUCCAUAUCCGGUGUAGGCGUUAGAAUAUUGAGAGGAGCCUUCCUUAGUACGAGAGGACCGAGAAGGACAUACCUCUGGUGUACCAGUUAUCGUGCCAACGGUAAACCUGGGUAGCUAUGUAUGGAGUGGAUAACCGCUGAAAGCAUCUAAGUGGGAAGCCCACCUCAAGAUAAGUA
rnacentral:rRNA from 1 species